rnacentral:rRNA from 1 species
GAUGAACGCUGGCGGCGUGCCUAAUACAUGCAAGUCGAGCGAACAGACGAGGAGCUUGCUCCUCUGACGUUAGCGGCGGACGGGUGAGUAACACGUGGAUAACCUACCUAUAAGACUGGGAUAACUUCGGGAAACCGGAGCUAAUACCGGAUAAUAUAUUGAACCGCAUGGUUCAAUAGUGAAAGACGGUUUUGCUGUCACUUAUAGAUGGAUCCGCGCCGCAUUAGCUAGUUGGUAAGGUCACGGCUUACCAAGGCAACGAUGCGUAGCCGACCGGAGAGAGUGAUCGGCCGCCUGGGAACUGAGACACGGUCCAGACUCCUACGGGAGGCAGCAGUAGGGAAUCUUCCGCAAUGGGCGAAAGCCUGACGGAGCAACGCCGCGUGAGUGAUGAAGGUCUUCGGAUCGUAAAACUCUGUUAUUAGGGAAGAACAAAUGUGUAAGUAACUAUGCACGUCUUGACGGUACCUAAUCAGAAAGCCACGGCUAACUACGUG